rnacentral:rRNA from 1 species
UACGGGGGGGGCAAGCGUUGAUCGGAAUUACUGGGCGUAAAGGGCUCGUAGGCGGCUAUUUAAGUCAGUCGUGAAAUCCCUCGGCUUAACCGGGGAACGGCGUCUGAUACUGGACGGCUUGAGUUCGGGAGAGGGAUGCGGAAUUCCAGGUGUAGCGGUGAAAUGCGUAGAUAUCUGGAGGAACACCGGUGGCGAAGGCGGCAUCCUGGACCGAUACUGACGCUGAGGCGCGAAAGCUAGGGGAGCAAACGGG